CACAGUAACAUAUUACCAGUCCUUAGCAUUGCUGGGCUUGACAUAUAAAUAAUGAGAGAAUGUAAAUUGAUUUGUCCAAGAUCAUUUGGUUUCAAUGGGAGCCAGAGAUCAGGGAAGCUGGGUCAAGCAUGCCUGAAAAAAGAAUAGUCCAGUCAAAAACAAGAGGAAUGAGAACCACAACAGGGCAAUGUAUAUAGCUAAUGAAGCCCUGUGUAAUUUCUGUGCUUCCAGACUCUGCGCGCACAAUGUCGUAGGAAUUACCCACCAUCGAUAGAAUGAUAUUUGACUGAAAUGGAG